rfam:Myotis davidii contig24506, whole genome shotgun sequence.
GGAGGUUCUCGGGUGACGAAUCCCAGAAUUGGGCUCCCUCCUUUCUGGUUCUGUGUGCAUCACCCGAGAACCACU